rnacentral:rRNA from 1 species
GAUGAACGCUGGCGGCGUGCCUAAUACAUGCAAGUCGAGCGAACGGACGAGAAGCUUGCUUCUCUGAUGUUAGCGGCGGACGGGUGAGUAACACGUGGAUAACCUACCUAUAAGACUGGGAUAACUUCGGGAAACCGGAGCUAAUACCGGAUAAUAUUUUGAACCGCAUGGUUCAAAAGUAAAAGACGGUCUUGCUGUCACUUAUAGAUGGAUCCGCGCUGCAUUAGCUAGUUGGUAAGGUAACGGCUUACCAAGGCAACGAUGCAUAGCCGACCUGAGAGGGUGAUCGGCCACGAUGGAACUGAGACACGGUCCAGACUCCUACGGGAGGCAGCAGUAGGGAAUCUUCCGCAAUGGGCGAAAGCCUGACGGAGCAACGCCGCGUGAGUGAUGAAGGUCUUCGGAUCGUAAAACUCUGUUAUUAGGGAAGAACAUAUGUGUAAGUAACUGUGCACAUCUUGACGGUACCUAAUCAGAAAGCCACGGCUAACUACGUG